GAAGGGGGCCAAGCGUUGUUCGGAAUCAUUGGGCUUAAAGAGCACGUAGGCGGAAUACACAGUGUCUUGUGAAAUCCCUCGGGCUUAACCGAGGAACUGCAGGGCAUACUGGUAUUCUUGAGACAAGUAGGGGUGCAUGGAACUCUGGGUGGAGCGGUGAAAUGCGUAGAGAUCCAGAGGAACGCCAGCGGAGAAAUCGGUGCACUGGGCUUGUUCUGACGCUGAGGUGCGAAAGCGUGGGUAGCGAACGGGAUUAGAUACCCCGGUAGUCCACGCCGUAAACGAUGUCUACUAGAUCGUGGGAGUUCUGACGCUGUCGCGAUCGUAACAAAAGUAUUAAGUAGACCGCCUGGGGAGUACGGUCGCAAGGCUA
rnacentral:rRNA from 1 species